AUGGGGAGGCUGAUUUUUGACAGGUCAAGGAGGGGGAAAUACGUAGGAGUCUUCUACUUGAAUGAAUUUUUGGGAAGAAAACACAGUAUGUAUGAAGCUGAAAUCAUGAUGGAACCAAAAUGGAAUAUUUAUAUGCUUUUUUUCUUUUCUUUAAACCAGCAUAGAACACAUGGCUUCACCAAAACCAGUGUCUUGCAUUUCUUCAUCGCGGAACUGACUUCAGAGGAAAGCAGUUCAGAUCCUUGUCUCCAGUCUGGAGCUGUCCUCUGGCCAGGCUCCUUGCAGGAUGACAUCUCUCAGCAAGACUUCUCCCUACAAAGAUAUGAUUCUAACAAUUUCGACCAGACUGUCUUGGGGCCCUACCUCUCAGGAACUGAGUGCUGGAAAACUUCCACUGGAAAAAAAAAAAAAACAAAAAACAAAAAAACACACACUCUUUUAAAAGAGAGGAUAUCAGAAGUAUACAUCUUUUAUCCAUGCCCCACACACUUGCAUGUGAAGAGAGAGCACCAGCUGUUUUUCUCAUGGAGGCACUGUGGAAAACACACCUCUCAAACUGGAGCUCACAACCAGGACAGCUGGUAAUGGUGAUGCAAAAAAGCGACUCAUCACAGCAAGCAGUUAAGUUGUGUAGGCCAUCGUCAUGUGCCCUUUUCUUUGAUUGGCUUCAGAAAAAAUGGUAAGUGAAUUAAGACAGUAAGUGAGGGGAGUGCUAGGGCAGGGGGAAGUCAGGGUCAGGUCUGUUUUGAUGUUCAUCUUGAUUCCUUUAGUUCUCUUCACUGUGGGUGGUAACUGCUUGAGUUCCCAAAAGUGUUUACAGUUGAAGUCAUCUUUAGACAGGUGGACUUAUUUUUGAAUCUUG
rnacentral:lncRNA from 1 species